rnacentral:tRNA from 1 species
CUCCCCGUAGCUCAGCGAGAAGAGUGCGCGCGUCCGAAGCGCGAGGUCGCAGGUGCGAAGCCUGCCGGGGAGACCA